UGAUUGUGAUUUUCUACAACACACAAACAUGCAAAAGAUUCUGAAUAAAAAUAUUACGGUGCAAAUCCGCCGUCAUAAUAGCAAUGCGCCCAGGUCCAAACGUGCCUGGCUUUUAGAGGUAAUGGGAGACGACACUCCGAUUGGUUUAUUGCAUGUUGCGCCCA